UAGAGUUAUAAAACUCCCAAACCCAUGUGAACUUACCAUUGUUGCCUCGGCGGGACCUACCCUGUACCUACCCUGGAGCUACCCUGUAGCGCUGGGAGAGGCUACCCUGUAGCGGACCGCCGGUGGAUUUUCAAACUCUUGUUAUAUUAGUGUUAUCUGAGCGUCUUAUUUUAAUAAGUCA
rnacentral:misc_RNA from 1 species